CCUACGGGAGGCAGCAGUGAGGAAUAUUGGUCAAUGGGCGUAAGCCUGAACCAGCCAAGUCGCGUGAGGGAUGAAGGCUCUAUGGAUCGUAAACCUCUUUUAUAAGGGAAUAAAGUGUGGGACGUGUCCUGUUUUGUAGGUACCGUAUGAAUAAGGAUCGGCUAACUCCGUGCCAGCAGCCGCGGUAAUACGGAGGAUCCGAGCGUUAUCCGGAUUUAGUGGGUUUAAAGGGUGCGUAGGCGGUCUUAUAAGUCAGCGGUGAAAGACUUGGGCUCAACCACAGUCUUGCCGUUGAAACUGUGGGGCUUGAGUUGGUUUGCAGCAGGCGGAAUGCGUGGUGUAGCGGUGAAAUGCAUAGAUAUCACGCAGAACCCCGAUUGCGAAGGCAGCCUGCCAGGCCAGGACUGACGCUGAUGCACGAAAGCGUGGGGAUCGAACAGGAUUAGAUACCCCUGUAGUC
rnacentral:rRNA from 1 species